UACAGAGGGUGCGAGCGUUAAUCGGAAUUACUGGGCGUAAAGCGCGCGUAGGCGGCUUGUUAAGUCGGAUGUGAAAUCCCUGGGCUCAACCUAGGCAUUGCAUUCGAUACUGGCAAGCUAGAGUAUGGGAGAGGAAGGUAGAAUUCUAGGUGUAGCGGUGAAAUGCGUAGAGAUCUGGAGGAAUACCGAUGGCGAAGGCAGCCUUCUGGCCUAAUACUGACGCUGAGGUGCGAAAGCAUGGGGAGCAAACAGG
rnacentral:rRNA from 1 species